rnacentral:lncRNA from 1 species
GCGGGACGCCCCCGCCCCCACCGCGGCGCGUAGUGCGCAGGCGCCUCCCCCCGGGUCCCGGCGGCGGGAGCGGGAGGCGGCGGCGGCGGCGGCGGGAGCGGCUUCAGCCUCUCUUGGAGACUGAGGCGAAGGCGGCGGCGAAGGAGGUGAAGGAGCGACGAGGGCGGCGGCGAAGGCGAUGGCGACGCGGGGCACAUGAAGCGGUGGCCGGCGGGACGGGCCGAGGCCCGGCGGAGAAGGCGGCUCCGGGGGAACCCGCCGCCGGGUGACUAUCCUGUUGCCCAAACAUCAUUAAUUAAAAAUUCCAUCUUUGCCCCCACUGAUGUGAGGAGCCACCUACAUUAGUAGCUUUUCAGCAGAGGAGUAACACAUCUGUGUUAGAGAAUUCUGGUGGAGAUGUAGAAGACAGACUGAAGAAGAGAAAGUAGAGCAGGUAUUGAUUGGUUUAUAGCCUUUCAGGAUUUUUGGUUGUUUUUUUUUUUUUUUUAGGGUUUUUUAAUGCAUAAAUUUUGUUUUCACAAAAUUGAGAUAAUUCUAUAAGUGUGUGAAUUUAUUGAACAGGUAUUUAUUGAGAACCCAUCACCAUUUUUUAGGCCCUGGGGUUUCAGAUAACUGGGGAUAAAAGAACAGAGUCCUUGCUGUCAGGAAGCUUCUAUUCUAGUGGAGGAACUAGGCAAUAAAAUAAAAAUAUAAAUUACAUACAUAUAUAUAAAUAGGCCAGGUGAAGUGGCUCACACCUGUAAUCCUAGUACUCUGGGAGGCUAAGGCAGGAGGAUCACUUGAGGUCAGGAGUUUGAGGUUGCUAUGAUGAUGCCACUGCACUCUAGCUGGGGCAACAGAGCAAGACUGUCUAAAAAAUAUAUAUAUAUAUACACACACACACAUACACAAACAUAAUGUGUGGAUUAAGUGCUGUAAAGAAAAUUAUGGCUAAGAAAAAAAGGCUGGAGAAUUAUAGGAACUGUUAGAAGUUGUCUAGGGAAGGUCUUAUUAAGGAAAGUGACAUUUGAGCAAAGCCUUGAAUGAAGUAAGAGUGAGUCCUGCCAGUAUCUAUGAAAAGAGUUGUUCUAAUCAGUGAAAAUAGCAAGUGCAAAGAUUCUAAGGCAAAAGCAUGGCAUGUUUGUCAUGGUUUGUGGAACAAAGAGGAUGCAGGUAGAUAUUCCUGAGGCAGAAUGAGGAAGAGGGAGAAUAAGUGGGAAUGAGACCAGAAAGUGAGCUGAUAAAGGACAUUGUAAACUACCGGAAGAUUUUGGAUUUUAUUCCAAGUGUGAUGGGAAGCUACUACUAGAGAGUUUUGAUCAGAAAGGGAAAUUGUCUAACCUACCUUCUAAAAUCUUUACUCUGGUUGCUCUUGGAGAGAGGAUGAAGGCAUAAGCUAAGGCAGUGGUUCCCAACGUUUUUUGGCACCAGGACAGGUUUCAUGGAAGAUAAUUUUUCCAUGGCCAGUGGGGG